CAGGAGAGGAAGAGGAGAGUAGAAGACAGCAGGAGAGGAAGAGGAGAGUAGAAGACAGCAGGAGAGGAAGAGGAGAGUAGAGGACAGCAGGAGAAGAAGAGGAGAGUAGAGGACAGCAGGAGAAGAAGAGGAGAGUAGAAGACAGCAGGAGAAGAAGAGGAGAGUAGAGGACAGCAGGAGAAGAAGAGGUGAGGAGAGGACAGCAGGAGAGGAAGAGAGAAUACAGUAAAAGAGAGGAAAAAGUUCAGUCUUUCUUAUAUUAGAAAAUUGACCUUCUUCUGAUGGAUUCAGAUGAUUCCAAUAUGUCCUAUUUGUUUGUGAUUGGGGCCUGUAGAUACUACAUG
ensembl:lncRNA